rnacentral:rRNA from 1 species
AUGAACGUUGGCGGCGUGGAUUAGGCAUGCAAGUCGAGCGAGAACCCGCAAGGGGGACAGCGGCAAACGGGGUAGGAAUGAUUGGUGACGUACCCUCGGGACGGGGAUAGCCACGGGAAACUGUGGGUAAUACCCGAUAAUCUCCCAGGUUUGAAGACCUGGGUGCAAAGGUGUGAUUCCACCGGAGGAGCGGCCAAUCUGGUAUUAGCUAGUUGGUAGGGUAACGGCCUACCAAGGCUACGAUGCCUAGGGGGUGUGAGAGCAUGGCCCCCACCACUGGGACUGAGAUACUGCCCAGACACCUACGGGUGGCUGCAGUCGAGAAUCUUCGGCAAUGGGCGAAAGCCUGACCGAGCGACGCCGCGUGCGGGAUGAAGGCCUUCGGGUUGUAAACCGCUGUCAGAGGGGAUGAAGUUCUAGGAGGUUCUCCUUCUAGAUUGACAGAGCCUCAGAGGAAGCACGGGCUAAGUAUGU